AAACAAAAGAGCAUUAGUAAGUCCAGCAGAAAUAGCGUAAAUAAUUAUCUAAACAUAAGAACCAUAAAUAAAAUAACAUGCAAUAGUAUCCUACAGUAACUACCAUAAGGGAGACACAAUCCAUAACACAAAUCAUCUAUGGAUAGCCCUGCCAAGUCUCACCCAACCCGGGGUGAGGAGUACGAAAAACUCUAGGGACCCCUAUCCUACAACCCUGAUACUAGACCUCCAGG
rnacentral:lncRNA from 1 species